GCCAUUUUCUGUGCGAGUGGCGCAGAUCGGCUGUUGAUUUCAAUUAUGGCUUCAUCAAGCGCUACAACAGAACCAAAAGGUAGAAGAGGGAGCUUUCCACAUGAUAUUCCUAACUUGUCAUUAAGAAUGGUUGUGGUGGGGAGAACAGGAGCGGGUAAAAGCUCUUCUGGAAACACCAUCCUGGACAGAAAAGUCUUCAGAGCUGCCAAAAGUUCUUCAUCUGUGACCAAAGAGUGCUGGAAGGAGACUGGAGAAGUGGCUGGAAGAGAAGUCACUGUGGUAGAUACGCCAGGUCUGUUUGACACGAAAGCUUCAGAGUUGAAUCUACAGCAGGAGAUCAGUAAAUGCAUUAAUAUGACGGCUCCUGGACCUCACGCCUUCAUCCUGGUCAUUAACCUUGGCCCGUUCACUGACGAAGAGAAACUCUCAGUGGAGAAAAUCAGAGCCGUGUUUGGAGAAGCAGCAGAUAAACACACCAUCAUCCUCUUCACACACGGAGAUCAACUGGACUGCACUAUUGAAGAAUAUGUUGAUGUAGCCAGUGAAAACCUUAAAGAAAUCAUCAGACGUUGCGGAGGAAGAUAUCACGUCUUCAACAAUAAAGACAUUGAGGAUCGCACACAAGUGGUGGAUUUCCUGGAGAAAGUAGAUGAGAUGGUCACUGCUAAUGAAGGGAAACACUUCACCAAUCAGUACUACGAGGAUGUGAAGCUCAAGCUGAAAAGUAAGG
ensembl:processed_transcript